CGCGCGAUUGGAGCGGCCGAUAUCGGAUUAGCUAGUUGGUGAGGUAAAGGCUCACCAAGGCGACGAUCCGUAGCUGGUCUGAGAGGACGACCAGCCACACUGGAACUGAGACACGGUCCAGACUCCUACGGGAGGCAGCAGUGGGGAAUUUUGGACAAUGGGGGCAACCCUGAUCCAGCCAUUCCGCGUGAGUGAAGAAGGCCUUCGGGUUGUAAAGCUCUUUCAGCAGGAACGAAACGGUGGUCCUUAAUACGGGCUACUAAUGACGGUACCUGAAGAAGAAGCACCGGCUAACUACGUGCCAGCAGCCGCGGUAAUACGUAGGGUGCGAGCGUUAAUCGGAAUUACUGGGCGUAAAGCGUGCGCAGGCGGUUAUAUAAGACAGAUGUGAAAUCCCCGGGCUUAACCUGGGAACUGCGUUUGUGACUGUAUAACUCGAGUGUGGCAGAGGGGGGUGGAAUUCCACGUGUAGCAGUGAAAUGCGUAGAGAUGUGGAGGAACACCGAUGGCGAAGGCAGCCCCCUGGGUCAACACUGACGCUCAUGCACGAAAGCGUGGGGAGCAAACAGGAUUAGAU
rnacentral:rRNA from 1 species